GCCCCUAUAGCUCAGCUGGAUAGAGCGUCCCCCUCCUAAGGGGAAGGUCUCAGGUUCGAAUCCUGAUGGGGGCGCCA
rnacentral:tRNA from 12 species